GACUUACUCCCUCCGUCCGAAAAUACUUGUCAUCAAAAUGGAUAAAAAGAGAUGUAUCUAGAACCAAAAUACGUCUAGAUACAUCCCUUUUUAUCCAGACAAGUAAUUCCGGACGGAGGGAAUACAAG
rfam:Triticum aestivum genome assembly, contig: Triticum_aestivum_CS42_TGACv1_scaffold_032646_1BL